UGUCAAGUAAUGUUAAUGGUAGCAUAGCUGACUGUUAAUCAGCUUGUGGGGGUUCGAGUCCCUCCUUGACAGCCA
rnacentral:tRNA from 1 species